UGUCUGGAGUUUUUUUGCCUGCUGAAAUCUCUCGGAAAGCUUUCAAAAUCAAAGAUGGCGCUGCCGUGAAUAAGGACUUUUUAAUUUAUGGAUUCUUACCAAACCAGUUGAGAACCUCUGGUUUUGGACAUAAUAUAGACGUAUACUUGAAGAAGAGAAGAGCGUAGAAUGUACUACACUUACUGUAGAUGGCAGAAAUCUCUUCUAAAUAUAAUGUAUAAAUAAGAGUUUUAUAGGUUAAUAGGCACAUAAUUGGAUUUACAUCACUCUAUUUGCAACUUACAUGUAGUUCGGUCUUCAAGCUGAAGAGCUUGGAUGUGUGAUGUGGUCAUGUGAUUGGGCACGGGUCAUGUGAUUGGGCACGGGUCAAGUGAUUGGGCACGGGUCAUGUGAUUGGGCACAGGUCGCGUAGAGCGGGCACGGGUCAUGUGAUUGGGCACAGGUCGCGUAGAGCGGGCACGGGUCAUGUGAUUGGGCACGGGUCAUGUGAUUGGGCACAGGUCGCGUAGAGCGGGCACGGGUCCUCCCUCAGUCCGGGUCUCUGUCCGGCACCAGAACCCCGAAAACCCAAUCCAGAUGCUGGACCUAGAAAACACACAGCGGUUAUUAAUUACUGGCAGCUUCGCCAUGUUCUUGUACUAUGCGUUGUAGCAAUAAACAUGCUGUUUCGCAUUAUUUCUUCUGAUAACUAUGCUUUCUUUUUUUGUACCUCAAUUAUAAAUUGUGAGGGUUAAUAGAUAAUCAGCUUCACGAACCUUCUCAGAUGAGGUGAAAGUUCAUGACAAACAUUCACUGAUCAGUGCCGCUUGAGAACGAUUAAACGCAUUCCACAUCUUGUGCCGAUGGAUCUGCAGUAUUUUAGUGUGUUUUAUUUGUUUAACCCUUUGCUUUCAAUCUGAUGAGGUUUUACUGUUCAUAACAAAGUGCUGUUAGUCAUUUUAUAUGUGGCCUUGAGCAUCUGUGUCCACUUGUUCAGUCACUCCAGUGUUUUCUAUUAAACCCUGAUAAGGUUAAACACGUGCUUUACUUCUCU